GGCACACAUUCUGAUAAACUCGUGGUGUUCAUCUGUGUUUAUCAUCUUUUUGUCAUGGUAAGAUGUCGAUGACAUUUCAGACGCUUCUCCCAACAUGUUCCAAUAACACCUUCGGAAUUGUUGGAGGUCAGGAAGCAGGAGGUCGCCUCUGUCGAGUCUUUGUGCUGAACAAAGCGAUCAAACCGGUUUUCAGUUUUCCGUCUGACUUUGAAUAACUGAAAUGUUUACUGAAUAUUACUGAAUACUGGAACGCUGCUUGAUGACCAUCGUCUCACAAACAGAGGAGAUGAUGUCUGUAGAAGAAGCUGAAGAAUAAGCUGCACGUGAGGUCGCUCAUCAAGAGACAGUGUGUGUGUGUGUGUGUGUCGGUUGUACUUUUUCUCAUCUGAUGUGUAACAUUUUAAUGUGUACAUUUGCCUUAUGUUGGUUUCAUUUGUGGUCUGAAGUUGUGGAGGUCAGAGGUCAGUUCUGCAUUUGUGUUCAAGUACUGUCGAUGAAAUAAAACAUUCUACAGUUUUCCUACA